rnacentral:RNase_P_RNA from 1 species
CGCGAUGGACGAGCCGCCGCUCCCUGCCUUUGCGGGCGGGGGGAGGAAAGUCCGGGCUCCGCAGGGCAUGACGCCGGGUAACUCCCGGGCGGGGGCGGCAGCAAUGCCGCUUUCGACAGAGAGCGCAGCAGAAAAGACACAUCCUGGGGCGCAAGGCGCGCCGGGAAACGGUGAAAAGGCGGGGUAAGAGCCCACCGCCGCGCCGGUAACGGCGCGGAAAAGAUUCCGCGCGGGCGCUUGAGCGUACGGGCGGAAACGUGCAAGCCUCGUCAGGAGCAAAGCCAAACAGGCGGUGAACGGCCCGUUCGAUACCGCCGGGUAGGCUGCUGGAACCCUGUUGCAAGGCAGGGUCAAGAUAGAUGGCGGCAUAAAACAGAACCCGGCUUACGGUCCAUCGCUUUUU